rnacentral:rRNA from 1 species
GACAGAGGGUGCAAACGUUGUUCGGAAUUACUGGGCGUAAAGCGUGUGUAGGCGGUCCGCUAAGUCGGGUGUGAAAGCCCUGGGCUCAACCCAGGAAGUGCACUCGAAACUGGCGGGCUAGAGUUCUGGAGGGGGUAGCGGAAUUCCUGGUGUAGCGGUGAAAUGCGUAGAUAUCAGGAGGAACACCGAUGGCGAAGGCAAUCCCCUGGGCCUGCACUGACGCUCAUGCACGAAAGCGUGGGGAGCAAACAGG